rfam:Scleropages formosus scaffold7766, whole genome shotgun sequence.
UGGGUAAAUCAUUGUAAGUCACUUUGGAGAAAAGUGUCUGCUAAAUGAAUAAAU